GAUGAACGCUGGCGGCGUGCCUAAUACAUGCAAGUCGAGCGAACAGACGAGGCGCUUGCUCCUCUGACGUUAGCGGCGGACGGGUGAGUAACACGUGGAUAACCUCCCUAUAAGACUGGGAUCACUUCGGGAAACCGGCGCUAAUACCGGAUAAUAUCUUGAACCGCAUGGUUCAAUAGUGAAAGACGGUUUUGCUGUCACUUAUAGAUGGAUCCGCGCCGCAUUAGCUAGUUGGUAAGGUCACGGCUUACCAAGGCAACGAGGCGUAGCCGACCUGAGAGAGUGAUAGGCCACACGGGAGCUGAGACACGGUCCAGACGCCUACGGGAGGCAGCAGUAGGGAAUCGGCCGCAGUGGGCGAAAGCCUGACGGAGCAGCGCCGCGUGAGUGAUGAAGGUCUUCGGUUCGUAAAACUCUGUUACUAGUGAAGAACAAAUGUGUAAGUAACUAUGCACGGCGUGACGGUACCUAAUCAGAAAGCCACGGCUAACUACGUG
rnacentral:rRNA from 1 species